UACGUAGGGUGCAAGCGUUAAUCGGAAUUACUGGGCGUAAAGCGUGCGCAGGCGGUUUUGUAAGUCAGAUGUGAAAUCCCCGGGCUCAACCUGGGAACUGCGUUUGAAACUACAAGGCUAGAGUGUAGCAGAGGGGGGUGGAAUUCCACGUGUAGCAGUGGAAAUUCGUAGAUAUUAGGAAGAACACCAGUGGCGAAGGCGGCUCACUGGUCCGGUUACGUGGACGCUGAGGUGCGGAAAGCGA
rnacentral:rRNA from 1 species